AAGCAACAAGAGAGUUCGAAACAGUCAUGCAGUACCAAUGCCAGAGCAAGAUAAAAUAAAAUAGCAAACUAAUACGUAGACCUUCGUCGCAAAGACCUCCGAUGAGAACACUAUAACACAAUCCAACUGUCAAAAGAGUCCUGCUAUGAAAUCAUAGUCCUUUGCACAGCCACAAGACAGUGAAAACAUCAUACAGAGAACAUAAUACGCCAAGAAGAAAGAAAACAACCACUAAGCACACUAUCUCCAGCUACCUCCAAUAGCAAUUGGCAAUGAAAGAAGAGAAAUCUGCAAGGAGCAACAUAAAGAAGAGAAUAACUGUAAACAAGCCAGGAAAGAAAAUAAAUAAAAAAGCCCCCAAGCACGCCAUAGCAUCUCAACACUGGCAAAGAAACCUCCUAUGAAAACGUAGUCCUUAAGACAUGUACAAAAUCAAAGAUCAGUUAAGGGGAGAACGAAGAAAACACUAUGCAACAAUAAGAAAACUAGCCUAGCCACUUAACCUCAACACAGAGAUCUGGUGUAAGAGAAUUUGCCUGAUGUCAAGCCUAUGAAUACUCCAAGAACACAUUAAGGAACCCGUCUAGUAGACUCUACUUGGCCAGUCUCCAUAGGUUUGUCAAGAAGAACACCAACAUCACCCGAAUUCGCAGUUCCCAUCGCAGAGUAGCCAGCCAAACUAGUAAAGAUGGGCAAAAGAUGGUGCCCAACAACCCUAGUUGCCAAAAACCUAGCCCAACACCAUGAAAAGAAGGAUCAAAGUUAUAAACCCUGAAAAGCCACCCACGCCUAAUCUCUAGACAGCGACCGUCUUCUCCUAACGGUAAGGCUUGAGAUCGCAGAUCGGAUGACAAAGAGGGAGUGAGGAAAGCCACCUUCACAGUGACCGCUGAUCCCAACGAAGCAGCUUGCAUCAUGAUCAUUGUUGACUUGGAGAUUGUCGGCACAUUAGCAGGAGUAAACCCACUAAAACCACCAUACCAAGGCAACCACCAGAGACGUUGACGCACCAAGGAGAAAGAGAACAAUGACCAACGCCCAGGAUAUGAGAGAGACAACAAUGAGGCCAACACCCUAGAGUCAAAGAGAAGAGUGACGGCAGUGACUCAACGUGGAAGAAAAGUGACUCGAC
rnacentral:lncRNA from 1 species